rnacentral:tRNA from 1 species
GACCGCGUAGCUCAGUUGGCAGAGCGUUGGGCUAGUAUUCCAAAGGUCGUAGGUUCGAUUCCCACCGUGGCCG